GCGGAUUCUUCACUGCUGAGCCACCAGGGAAGCCCCACGUCAGGUCUGGGAGAAGGGAAAAGAGCAAGAAAGACUUGGUGCAGCUGCAGCAGGAGAGAGAAAGAGGCAGGGAACUGUUUACUAGGGGAAGAAAGAGAACCAGGAGAGACUCAGGAUGCUCAGCUGGUGGAAAGGAGAAACUGACCCUGGAUCCCAGGGACAGGCAAACCGUGAAAGUAUUCCUGGGCAGCUCCCUGACUUCCACAUUCCAGUCCUUCUUUGUUUCCAGAUAGCAUUAUUCAACCCUUCAGCCACUCACUCACUCACUCCUUCCCUCAUUUGUUCAUUCAUUCCUGUCCAGUAACUUCUAAUCCAGAGAUGAGGCCCAUGCCUGGAGCUGAGGCCAGAUGUGGAAGGCUCACAGGAUCCACAAGGGAGCUACUUGUGCAGGGCUCACUCUCGACUCCUUCCCACGGCUCCACAAACCAACGUGUCCAACUCAGCUUUCCAGGGCUUCAUUACAAGGCGGAUUCUUCACUGCUGAGCCACCAGGGAAGCCCCACGUCAGGUCUGGGAGAAGGGAAAAGAGCAAGAAAGACUUGGUGCAGCUGCAGCAGGAGAGAGAAAGAGGCAGGGAACUGUUUACUAGGGGAAGAAAGAGAACCAGGAGAGACUCAGGAUGCUCAGCUGGUGGAAAGGAGAAACUGACCCUGGAUCCCAGGGACAGGCAAACCGUGAAAGUAUUCCUGGGCAGCUCCCUGUCUUCCCUCUACCAUCACUUGCCACAGAUCUGCUGCAUCCUGUCAUACUCGCUGCCCCCUCCUCUAAGCCUGCCAGUUCUAUCAUGCCUCCACCAAGUGCUCAGAUGGGCUCUUCCCUGGUCCCCCCUCCGCCUCCUUCAUCACCCAUCUGUCCCAUUCCCACACUCUACGACGAAGGUGAAGUUCAUGGUGGCACUGGGUGCCCAGGUGGUUGUACUACAAAUGAAAAGUGGUGAGAGAAAAAUGGCUUGAAAACACAAAAGCAGAGGUGUUAACGAUGAUUUAAGGUGCUGACUUCUAUUAAAGGAGACUGUGCCAGUGAUAUGAUGAGGUUGGUGGAAAAAAUAUAGGAUAUUUAGAGAAACUUUAGCUUCUAAAGCUCUGCAUAAAUUUCAACAAUUUUUGAGGACAUCAUCAGGGAAGUUGUUUUAAAAUCAGGAUUAUAAUACCUGAAACAAUAUCCUGAAAAAAUUCAGAAUCUAGUAAACUUUGUUCUUCAAAACAUUUCAGGUAAGUGGCAGUGUUUGUGGUGGCAGUUGAGGCAAAUGAGGCAAGCAGGAAACACCCUAAAUUUUGAAGUUCAACAGCUGAGCAGGAGCUAAAACCAAUCUGAUAUUUGUCUCACUGCAGAUGCAGAACUGAUCAACAAGAUGGCAAUAAUGUGUGAUGUUUUAUUCACUUUCAAAUACUUAAAUUGAUUUUGAAGAUUUCAUUUGGGAAAUAAAAGUAAUGCAUUUAAGAAAAUAGCUUAUUUAAGCCAAGGGCAGAAAGAAGAUGACAAGAAAGAAUUUGCAGGGAAUCUCUUUUGUGUCUGGAUUCAAUUUUUACUUAUUCAGAUUUUUCAUCAGUUCUUGAUCAGCCCGCAAGUUGCAGGCUAGGAUUGCAUCAGGGGAAGGUGAUGUGGAUAGCCAUACGUUCCUAGGAGGCUAGGAAGGGCAAGUGUGUAGAAGUGUGAGUUCUUGUUAGGAAAUCUGUAAGUCAGUUUCUGUGGUGUUUUUCCAAGGUCACCACAGGUUGGACCACAGGUGGCUGCUUGCUGCCUAAUGCCCUCUUGUCCUGAGGCAGGGUAGCUG
rnacentral:lncRNA from 1 species